rnacentral:rRNA from 1 species
CCUACGGGUGGCAGCAGUGAGGAAUAUUGGUCAAUGGACGAGAGUCUGAACCAGCCAAGUAGCGUGAAGGAUGACUGCCCUAUGGGUUGUAAACUUCUUUUAUAUGGGAAUAAAACGUUCCACGUGUGGGAUUUUGUAUGUACCAUAUGAAUAAGGAUCGGCUAACUCCGUGCCAGCAGCCGCGGUAAUACGGAGGAUCCGAGCGUUAUCCGGAUUUACUGGGUGUAAAGGGAGCGCAGACGGCAGUGCAAGUCUGGAGUGAAAGCCCGGGGCCCAACCCCGGAACUGCUCUGGAAACUGUGCGGCUAGAGUACUGGAGGGGCAGGCGGAAUUCCUAGUGUAGCGGUGAAAUGCUUAGAUAUCACGAAGAACUCCGAUUGCGAAGGCAGUUCACUGGACUGCAACUGACACUGAGGCUCGAAAGUGUGGGUAUCAAACAGGAUUAGAUACCCUAGUAGUC